CUGAGGUACGAAAGUGUGGGGAGCAAACAGGAUUAGAUACCCUGGUAGUCCACGCCGUAAACGAUGUGCACUAGUUUGGUGGAGAUCUGACUCUCUGCCAGACGCCGAGAAAUCAUUAAGUGCACCGCCUGGGGAGUACGGUCGCAAGGCUAAAACUCAAAGGAAUUGACGGGGGCUCACACAAGCGGUGGAGGAUGUGGCUUAAUUCGAGUCUACGCGAAGAACCUUAUCCUAGUCUUGACAUGCUUAGGAAUCUCUCCGAAAGGAGGGAGUGCCCGCAAGGGAGCCUUUGCACAGCUGCUGCAUGG
rnacentral:rRNA from 1 species